UCUCCGUAGGUGAACCUGCGGAGGGAUCAUUACUGAGUGAGGGCUCACGCCCGACCUCCAACCCCAUGUGAACCGCAACUGUUGCUUCGGGGGCGACCCUGCCGUCCGCGGCUGAGCGCCCCCGGGGUCAAUCAAACACUGCAUUCUCUGCGUCGGAGUUUAAAACAAAUUAAACAAAACUUUCAACAACGGAUCUCUUGGUUCUGGCAUCGAUGAAGAACGCAGC
rnacentral:misc_RNA from 1 species